rnacentral:misc_RNA from 1 species
GAUGAAGAACGCAGCGAAAUGCGAUAAGUAGUGUGAAUUGCAGAAUUCCGUGAAUCAUCGAAUCUUUGAACGCACAUUGCGCCUUCUGGUAUUCCGGAAGGCAUGCCUGUUCGAGAGUCAUUAACAACCGUUUCGAUCCCUUUCUUUCAGAAAUUACAAAGAGGAAAAGGGUUUGGUUAUGGUGGAGGAGGGAAAGGGAGCGUUUAGCCUGUAAAAAAAGAGGCUGUGUUCCGCCUCCCCCCCAAAAUUGUACAGGCGGUCGUGUGCGCCCACGCAUCGAGGUGUUGUAAAAGCUGCCACGGCACUUUUCACCUGUGCAGUGCGAGAUUGGCCAGCCGGUUUAAAAACCCCUCCAAACAAUCAAAGGUUGACCUCGGAUCAGGUAGGGAUACCCACUGAACUUAAGCAUAUCAAUAAGCGGAGGA